AAGCAAGAAAGAGCGCAGGGUGGAUGCCUUGGCACUAAGAGCCGAUGAAAGACGUGAUAAGCUGCGAAAAGCCACGGGUAGGAGCAAGUAUCCUAUGAGCCGGAGAUAUCUGAAUGGGGAAACCCGGCUGG
rnacentral:ncRNA from 1 species